UGGGGAAUUUUGGACAAUGGGCGAAAGCCUGAUCCAGCCAUGCCGCGUGAGUGAAGAAGGCCUUCGGGUUGUAAAGCUCUUUCGCGAGGGAAGAAAAUGUAUGGGCUAAUACCCUGUGCAGAUGACGGUACCUUGAUAAGAAGCACCGGCUAACUACGUGCCAGCAGCCGCGGUAAUACGUAGGGUGCGAGCGUUAAUCGGAAUUACUGGGCGUAAAGGGUGCGCAGGCGGUUUUUUAAGACAGACGUGAAAUCCCCGGGCUCAACCUGGGAAUGGCGUUUGUGACUGGAAGGCUAGAGUAUGGCAGAGGGGGGUAGAAUUCCACGUGUAGCAGUGAAAUGCGUAGAGAUGUGGAGGAAUACCGAUGGCGAAGGCAGCCCCCUGGGCCAAUACUGACGCUCAUGCACGAAAGCGUGGGGAGCAAACAGG
rnacentral:rRNA from 1 species